UCGCACGAGAAAGGGGAGCAAUCCCUGAGUACAGGGGCGCACGGGUGAGUAACACGUGAAUGAUCUACCUCCGAGUGGGGAAUAACUGAGAGAAAUCUUAGCUAAUACCGCAUAACACUUACGAGUCAAAGCAGCAAUGCGCUUGGAGAGGAGUUCGCGGCCGAUUAGUUAGUUGGCGGGGUAAUGGCCCACCAAGACGAUGAUCGGUAUCCGGCCUGAGAGGGCGCACGGACACACUGGAACUGAAACACGGUCCAGACUCCUACGGGAGGCAGCAGUGGGGAAUUUUGCGCAAUGGGGGAAACCCUGACGCAGCAACGCCGCGUGGAGGAUGAAAUAUCUUGGUAUGUAAACUCCUUUCGAUGGGGAAGAUUAUGACGGUACCCAUAGAAGAAGCCCCGGCUAACUUCGUGCCAGCAGCCGCGGUAAUACGAGGGGGGCAAGCGUUGUUCGGAUUUAUUGGGCGUAAAGGGUGCGUAGGCGGUUUGGCAAGUCUGAUGUGAAAUCUAUGGGCUCAACCCAUAGUCUGCAUCAGAAACUGCCGGGCUUGAGUAUGGGAGAGGUGAGUGGAAUUUCCGGUGUAGCGGUGAAAUGCGUAGAUAUCGGAAGGAACACCUGUGGCGAAAGCGGCUCACUGGACCAUAACUGACGCUGAUGCACGAAAGCUAGGGGAGCAAACAGGAUUAGAUACCCUGGUAGUCCUAGCCCUAAACGAUGAUUGCUUGGUGUGGCAGGUACCCAAUCCUGCCGUGCCGAAGCUAACGCG
rnacentral:rRNA from 1 species